AGAGGGGAGAAGUUGAAGAGAGUUGAAUACUUUAAGUUCCUUAAUUUUAGAGCGCAAUAAUGGAGGAAGAUGUGUGAUGUUGGAGAUGUGUAACGAAGGUGACUAUUUGUUAACCGAAGUAAGUUUGACAGAGAUCUCGAAGAGUCGAAGACGAUGACUAUUGUAUCUAACGUGUCAACACCAUAGAGCUCAUAUUUCCACUCUGUCAUCCAACGUGUCCUCACAGGAGAGAAACAUUCUCUUCUUUAUAUAUAAAGAUUAUACUAUUAUUACUUGAAAACAGCUUAAAUGAAAACGUUAUAAUUUGAUUGGUUGCUUAAAGCACUAUUGUGACUAAGCAAAAAUGUCAUG
rnacentral:lncRNA from 1 species